rnacentral:rRNA from 1 species
GACGAACGCUGGCGGCGCGCCUAAUACAUGCAAGUAGGACGCACAGCCUAUACCGUAGCUUGCUACACCAUAGGCUGUGAGUUGCGAACGGGUGAGUAACGCGUAGGUAACCUGCCUAUUAGAGGGGGAUAACUAUUGGAAACGAUAGCUAAUACCGCAUAACAGUAUGUAACACAUGUUAGAUGCUUGAAAGAUGCAAUUGCAUCGCUAGUAGAUGGACCUGCGUUGUAUUAGCUAGUAGGUAGGGUAAUGGCCUACCUAGGCAACGAUACAUAGCCGACCUGAGAGGGUGAUCGGCCACACUGGGACUGAGACACGGCCCAGACUCCUACGGGAGGCAGCAGUAGGGAAUCUUCGGCAAUGGGGGGAACCCUGACCGAGCAACGCCGCGUGAGUGAAGAAGGUUUUCGGAUCGUAAAGCUCUGUUGUUAAGGAAGAACGAGUGUGAGAAUGGAAAGUUCAUACUGUGACGGACUAACCAGA